AAAACGUCAGUUUUCUCCUAAUUUGACAUAAAAAAUUCAAAAUAAGUAAUGCACUAUGGUUGGAUUAAGUGCAUUAAAUUGUGAAAACAAGGUGUGAAGUAAAGAUAAAAAAUUAUUUUGCUUCAUCACUAACUCCCCUUUUUAUUUUAAAGAAAUUUAAUUUCCUCCUAUUUUUAACCCUUAACCAACACGCUAAAUAACCAUACUUUCAGUGCCAUUUUAUAAAAAAUCCCAAGAUAGGUUUAUAAAAUAUUAACAAUAUUUUGAAAGCAAACAUACUUGAUUAUUUAUUCAUAAUUAUUCUGGAUGUGUGUUUUUUGCUUUAAAAAAAUAAAAUGCAUUUGAAAAUUUUAAAAAACUAGCAUUUCACAAAAAUAUUAUCUCCCUUUGUAGAACUCUCUAGUUCCGACAGUGAAGGAAGGUAAAAACAAAAGUAUUUGUAAGCAUGACGUUUUGCCGGUUUGGAGUUCCUUUUCACAAACGAUGUGUUUUACUGAUAUUUUUAUACAAAACUGCUUAGAUUAUACAGUAUAGCUUCCUUGGCAGAUGUGAUAUUGUUUAUUCUGAAGACAUUCAACAACUCGUGAGUUUUAGCAAUGACCAUGUAUUGUCUAAAGUAGGUCGUAUGCCAUGUGUUACACUUGCAAAAUUAUUUAGUAAAUACAGUGAAUGACUAUCGAAUGUGGACGUUAUUUUAACUUUUCUUCAAAAUAAAAUACAAAGAGGUGAAGAAGGAAGUUUUGUCAAAUUCCAAAUCUUCUAAGUUCACACCUGCAUAUUGAAAACACCAGAGGAGAUGGACCAAGAAUUCCCCUCCAAACAGAACAUGUGAAAAUUUGAAAGCAGGUCAUUUGAUUGGUCAAGCUGGUGCAACGCUACCAGUGUUAUACACCGUGCAUGUACACCAUGCUGCUGUGUGACCAAGUGAGGGGCAUCACAAGGAAGGGGAAGAUAUUUAGAUCAUUCAUGGAGCCUUCAACAUCGUAUUAAAACCAAAUUAUAAAGAGAACUCAAGAAGCCAGAAUUUUACAUUUAGUCAUGACCAGUCAUGACAUUCAGCAAAUGAAUGAGUAUCUGAUGAAAAUUAGUGAGAGUUUUCAGAGAAUGGGAGAUACCGUCGGGACACCUUCACUAAGCCUGCUAAAUUAUACUACAACAAUAUAAUGACAAACAUUGCUGUUAUUCUCCCAAAGAACAUCAAAGAAAUAGUGAAGUCUUACAGUAUCUGAAGAAAAUCCUAGUCUUGCCUAGUAUUAUACCUGAGGGAAGUUUUGACCACUUAUCCUGAAGUUAUUCAUGCAUAAUAACAUGGGUCCACUAUGCACUACUAUGAAUAUGCUUCAAAUAAUUUAAAAAAAAGAAUUUAAUAAUGUACAUUCUUAAAUAAAAGAUAAAAAGUGUAUAAACAGUAGUCUCAUUGCAUGUAAAAUGAUAAUUCCAUCCUUUGUUACAAUUAUUGAAUUUAUAUAAAAUUGACAAAAAAAUUAAAGAAAUCUAUGUCAAAAGUGUCUAUUAUUAUUUUCAAGGCUUAAGGAUAACGUUUACUUGGAUGACAAAAAUAUUAACUGAUAAAAGUGAAAAACCACCUAUUGUACAUCUAUGUAAUUAUUCACUUAAGUAUGUCAUUGCCCUACUAUUCCUGCUAAUGGCUCUUGGGUAGUUCAUAGAAAAUAUAUAAUUAUUUUUCACAAUAUGACCAAGAUUUGCCCCCCCCCCCCUAAUAUUUUGCCAAUAUAUAGAAUUCUAUAAUAAACAUAGCUACUCUAUGCUUGUGCCCCCUCAGAAAAUACGUCUAAUGAUCUUUUGUCCUUAUUUUGCUUUCUAGAAAUUUUUGGUAGUUUUCACUGAGAAUGUAUGGUUGUGCCCCCCCCCCCCCCCUCUUCCAACUGAAAUUGCCUCUUACGAGCCUGCAAUCAAGUUGAAAAUCUGAAUGACAGGAACUCUUAUUACUUACAUGUAUGGUCUCAUUUUACUUUUGUUGUCCUUAUUCUGCUGGUAUUAUAAUUUUAUGAGCUCAAUAAUCAAAUUAUUUAGAUAUGUUGCUGUGAAUGGUUUGUGUUCAACAGUAUACAUACAUAUUUUUGAAAUUCUUUAUUGUGUAUCAAUCAAUUACAAGUAUAUGAAAUAAUGUUUGAGCUUUAAUAUAAAUUGAUAAUUG